rnacentral:rRNA from 1 species
AGUGAACGCUGGCGGUAGGCCUAACACAUGCAAGUCGAACGGCAGCACAGUAAGAGCUUGCUCUUACGGGUGGCGAGUGGCGGACGGGUGAGGAAUACAUCGGAAUCUACUUUUUCGUGGGGGAUAACGUAGGGAAACUUACGCUAAUACCGCAUACGACCUACGGGUGAAAGCAGGGGAUCUUCGGACCUUGCGCGAUUGAAUGAGCCGAUGUCGGAUUAGCUCGUUGGCGGGGUAAAGGCCCACCAAGGCGACGAUCCGUAGCUGGUCUGAGAGGAUGAUCGUCCACACUGGAACUGAGACACGGUCCAGACUCCUACGGGAGGCAGCAGUGUGGAAUAUUGGCCAAUGGGCGCAAGCCUGAUCCAGCCCUACCGCGUGGGUGAAGAAGUCCUUCGGGUUGUAAAGCCCUUUUGUUGGGAAAGAAAAGCAGCAGGUUAAUACCCCGCUGUUCUGACUGUACCCAAAGAAUAAGCACCGGCUAACUUCGUG